CCAUUCUAAGCGGUGGAUCACUCGGCUCG
rnacentral:rRNA from 1 species